rnacentral:rRNA from 1 species
GGCAGCAGGCGCGCAAAUUACCCAAUCCCGACACGGGGAGGUAGUGACAAUAAAUAACAAUACGGGGUUCUUUAGGAUCUCGUAAUUGGAAUGAGUACAAUUUAAAUCUCUUAACGAGGAACAAUUGGAGGGCAAGUCUGGUGCCAGCAGCCGCGGUAAUUCCAGCUCCAAUAGCGUAUAUUAAAGUUGUUGCAGUUAAAAAGCUCGUAGUUGAAUUUCGGGGUUAGUAGGUUGGUCAUGCCUCUGGUAUGUACUGGUCUCACUGAUUCCUCCUUCCUGAUGAGCCGUAAUGCCAUUAAUUUGGUGUUGCGGGGAAUUUGGACUGUUACUUUGAAAAAAUUAGAGUGUUUAAAGCAAGCUAACGCUUGAAUACAUUAGCAUGGAAUAAUGAAAUAGGACGUUCGAUCCUAUUUUGUUGGUUUCUAGGAUUGAUGUAAUGAUUAAUAGGGAUAGUUGGGGGCAUUAGUAUUCAAUUGUCAGAGGUGAAAUUCUUGGAUUUAUUGAAGACUAACUACUGCGAAAGCAUUUGCCAAGGAUGUUUUCAUUAAUCAAGAACGAAAGUUAGGGGAUCGAAGACGAUCAGAUACCGUCGUAGUCUUAACCAUAAACUAUGCCGACUAUGGAUCNGGAUGAUGUUUAUUUUUUAAUGACUCAUCCGGCGCCCUUACGGGGAAACCAAG